CCCUCCCCCACGCGCCUGAGCUGCGGCGGCCGCGGGGACCCCCCCGGGACCCCCCCGGAUUUUGGGGUCUAUGGGUGGAGAGCGCACGGUGAUUUCGGCCCCACGGAGCACCAGGGGACCCCCCAAAUUGAGGGGGGGGCCGUCCCCAACGGGCACCUGCCCGGAGCCCCCCCCCCCGGCGCCCCCCCCAGCCCCGAGCAGAUUUUGGGGGCGCGCCUGAGGCUCCUGGGGGACGCCUUCCAGCACAGCUACGAGCGCCAGCGCCGCGGCCGGGGGCUGCUCUGGGGGCCGCUCUUCCGCUGGGUGGCGCCCUGGCUCGGCGCCGCGCCCGCAGCGCCCCUGGCGGCCAGAGGCGGGAACUGACCCGGGAACACCUGGAGAACACCUGGAAAACACCUGGAAAACACCUGGAGAACAGCUGGAGAACAGCUGGAAAACACCUGGAAAACCUGGAAAACACCUGGAGGAAUCCCCGGAACGGCGGGGAAUAGGAGGGAACCCUCCCCCUUAAAGGGAACACAAAGCACAAACCCCCCCCUAAAUUCGAGUUGGUAGCGCCCAACCCCCCCCUUGGUUUUAUUUAUUUGGGGUAAUUUAUUAAUUGGGGAGGGGGGGGAGAGAUUUUAGGGGGGGUUCCUAAAAUUGGGGGAGGGUCCCUAAAAUUGGGCUGGGACCCCCAAAAAUGUGGCAGGAAAGGGGGGACCCCCCCCCCCAAAAAAAAAGGGUUUGUAAAUGGUGUAAAUUAGGGGGUGUACAUUUAAAUUUUUGGGGUGUAAAUUUAAAUUUCUGGGUGUACAUUGAAAUUUCUGGGUGUACAUUUAAAUUUUUGGGGUUUUUUAAGGGGUAAAAUAAGGGGGGACCCCCCCAAAACGGUGCUGGGGGGGUCAGGACCACCCCCCAAAUUUUUUUUUGGGGGGGGGGGCGCCCCCAAAUCACCCCUGGACCCCCAAAUCCCCCCCCCAGGGGGUGUAAAUGUUGUAUAUGGGCUGUGAAUCGGGGGAUUUUGGGGUUUUUUUGGGGUGGGGGGGUGUAUAGGAUCUAUAGGGGAGGGGGGAUUUUGGGGACCCCCCCCCGAUGGUGCUGGAGGGGGGGGGAACCCCAAAAAAAGCCCCCCACCCCCCAAAAGGGGCUGUACAUGCUGUACAUGCUGUAGAGGCUGUAAAUAGGGCGGCUGUACAUUGUUUGGGGUGUUUCUGUACAUUUUUGGGGUUUCUGUACAUUUUUUGGGUUUUUUUUGUACAUUUUUGGGGUUUCUGUACAUUUUUUGGGGUCUGUACAUUUUUUGGGGGUCUGUACAUGAAUUUGGGGGGGCUGUACAGGAAUUUUUUUUUGGGGGGGUCCCCGUUUUUUGUACCUUUGUUUGC